GAUGAACGCUGGCGGCGUGCCUAAUACAUGCAAGUCGAGCGAACAGACGAGGAGCUUGCUCCUCUGACGUUAGCGGCGGACGGGUGAGUAACACGUGGAUAACCUACCUAUAAGACUGGGAUAACUUCGGGAAACCGGAGCUAAUACCGGAUAAUAUAUUGAACCGCAUGGUUCAAUAGUGAAAGACGUUUUGCUGUCACUUAUAGAUGGAUCCGCGCCGCAUUAGCUAGUUGGUAAGGUAACGGCUUACCAAGGCGACGAUGCGUAGCCGACCUGAGAGGGUGAUCGGCCACACUGGAACUGAGACACGGUCCAGACUCCUACGGGAGGCAGCAGUAGGGAAUCUUCCGCAAUGGGCGAAAGCCUGACGGAGCAACGCCGCGUGAGUGAUGAAGGUCUUCGGAUCGUAAAACUCUGUUAUUAGGGAAGAACAAAUGUGUAAGUAACUAUGCACGUCUUGACGGGACCUAAUCAGAAAGCCACGGCUAACUACGU
rnacentral:rRNA from 1 species